UACGUAGGGACCAAGCGUUUGUUCGGAUUUACUGGGCGUAAAGGGCGCGUAGGCGGCCUCUGCAAGUCGACUGUGAAAUCUCCGGCUUAACCCGGAAAGGUCAGCCGAUACUGCAGGGCUAGAGUGCAGAAGGGGCAACUGGAAUUCUCGGUGUAGCGGUGAAAUGACGUAGAUAUCGAGAGGAACACCUGCGGCGAAGGCGGGUUGCUGGGCUGACACUGACGUGAGGCGCGAAAGCUAGGGGAGCGAACGGG
rnacentral:rRNA from 1 species